rnacentral:rRNA from 1 species
GACGAACGCUGGCGGCGUGCUUAACACAUGCAAGUCGAACGGAAAGGUCCUGCUCUUGUGGGGUGCUCGAGUGGCGAACGGGUGAGUAACACGUGAGUAACCUGCCCCUGACUUUGGGAUAACUCCAGGAAACUGGGGCUAAUACCGGAUAGGAGCUCCUGCUGCAUGGUGGGGGAUGGAAAGAUUCGGCGGUUGGGGAUGGACUCGCGGCUUAUCAGCUUGUUGGUGGGGUAGUGGCUUACCAAGGCUUUGAAGGGUAGCCGGCCUGAGAGGGUGACCGGCCACAUUGGGACUGAGAUACGGCCCAGACUCCUACGGGAGGCAGCAGUGGAGAAUAUUGCACAAUAGGCGGAAGCCUGAUGCAGCAACGCCGCGUGCGGGAUGACGGCCUUCGAGUUGUAAACCGCUUUCGCCUGUGACGAAGCGUGAUUGACGGUAAUGGGUAAAGAAGCACCGGCUAACUACGUG